rnacentral:rRNA from 1 species
UACAGAGGGCGCGAGCGUUGUCCGGAAUCACUGGGCGUAAAGGGCGCGUAGGUGGCCACCAUAAGGCCGCGGUGAAAGUUCGGGGCUCAACCCCGAAUCGGCCGCGGCGACUGUGGGGCUCGGGUACUGUAGAGGCAGAUGGAAUUCCGGGUGUAGCGGUGGAAUGCGUAGAGAUCCGGAAGAACACCAGUGGCGAAGGCGGCUUCCUGGACCAGCACCGACGUUCAGGCACGAAAGCGUGGGGAGCAAACAGG